rnacentral:rRNA from 1 species
UACGGAGGGUGCAAGCGUUGUCCGGAUUUAUUGGGUUUAAAGGGUGCGUAGGUGGCCUGUUAAGUCAGGGGUGAAAGACGGUAGCUUAACUAUCGCAGUGCCCUUGAUACUGAUGAGCUUGAAUGCAGCUGAGGUAGGCGGAAUGUGACAAGUAGCGGUGAAAUGCAUAGAUAUGUCACAGAACACCGAUUGCGAAGGCAGCUUACUAUGGUUUGAUUGACACUGAGGCACGAAAGCGUGGGGAUCAAACAGG